rnacentral:rRNA from 1 species
UACGUAGGGGGCAAGCGUUGUCCGGAAUUAUUGGGCGUAAAGAGCGUGUAGGCGGCCAGACAGGUCCGUUGUGAAAACUCGAGGCUCAACCUCGAGACGCCGAUGGAAACCGUCUGGCUAGAGUCCGGAAGAGGAGAGUGGAAUUCCUGGUGUAGCGGUGAAAUGCGCAGAUAUCAGGAAGAACACCCGUGGCUAAGGCGGCUCUCUAGUACGGUACUGACGCUGAGACGCGAAAGCGUGGGGAGCGAACAGG